rnacentral:lncRNA from 1 species
CAGGCCCCGCCCCCAGAGCGGGCCGCCCAUUCCCCGCCUCCACGCUCUCCAGUGUGGGGUCCGCCCUGCAGCCCCGCCCCCUAACCCCGGCCGGGUCGUUUCGGUCCCCAUUCCCCAUUCUUUCUCAGAAGACUCUUCAGUGGGUUCAGCACACGUCUCUCCUGUCCGCAACAGAGAAACAAGAUACCUGAGUGCCUCCCACGACCAUGUGACUUCUUACAGGGCAAGGACAGCCAUACCCAGCAAAGCUUCUAGUCCUCCUGGACCAUUGACCAUUUUGCGCAUUACAAGACGUGUGCAGCACCCCUGCCUCUGCCCAUUGGCUGUGAUGAUGAACAUGUCUCUGGACGUUGCCGAAAUUCCCGAGGGGGUCAAAUGCACACCCUCCUCCCAGAACCACUGCUCUAGGCCAAGGAGGACUCAGAAGAAGGAAAACAAAGUGAAGCAAGGUACGGAAACAGUUACUAAACAUUUUCCAUCCCAGCACUCUAUCUUCUUUAGAUGUUUAGAGUGGUGAUGGUGGGGGUAUGUGUGUAAAACCCUAGAGAAGUAAACAAUGCUCUUAAAUCAUGAAUCUCUAUCUCCUGGAAAACAAACUCUAUAACCCAGAGACAGAGAAAUAAUUUCUUUCUAGCUUCAUCAAAAGGCACCGCACUAACUAAUCCCCAGGCUCAUCAAAGUGUGACUCUCUGGAUUAGGAAGAAACAAAGGAAUAAACACUGCAUUGACAGUAUUUCUAAAAAUGGU